rnacentral:lncRNA from 1 species
GAAGGGGGGUUUCCUGGGCCCCCGAGAGCACAGGGAUGCCCAGUUCUGGAGCUGCACCCAGGAGGCUUCAGCUGUGCCUGGGAGCACGGACUCCUGCCCUGCCCUGCUGACUCGGCAGGAGGUGUAGCUCCUGCCUGUUCCUGUCCCACCGUCUCCUCGGAGCACGCAACCCCAGCUGGACUUCCCUCACUGUAGCUGGCAGCUUUGCAGCCGUCACUCCAGAUGGGCUGCCACUGCCAUCAAUAUUUAAGAUAUGUUGCCUUGUUUGGGAAAUCCAUAAAGUCUUUGCUUUAUGGCAGAUGAAUAUAGUAAAGAAAAGGAGUUAAAUUUAAUUUUGUAGCGAUGUAGUCCAUAGUGACAACUGGAGAAAAUGCUGCAAGUUUGUUAGGAGGCUAAGUCUUACCGAAAGAGAACUGCCAUUGAUACCUAUAAGAUUUAGUCAUGAUCACAAAAUUAGGACUGGAUAGGGAGUACAAACAGCUGAGACAAAAACUAUGAUCGACAGGCACCAUAAUUUUCAAUCAAAUAGCCUCAAAUCCGUACCUUCAAGUGACAAUAGGGAUGUAUCGCAGGUAGAGAAAUUUAUGGUGUGAUUAGUGGAAGAUGUAUGUGUGUGUGUUUGUGUGUACUUAUAUAGUCUUAGCAUAAGUGUAGUUAUUGGCUUACAUAGAUGUGUUUAGUUAGUUCCUAUUAAAACUGCUAUGGAGAAUUUUGUAGAGGUUGAGAGAUCAAAGGGUCUGGAAAAAUGUGGCAUUAAUUCAAGCCAGAUGGGAUCAAUAAUUCUGGAGACAAAUAGUUACAAAUUAUUGUAACUAUUGCAAAGCCCAAAACCUUGAGAGACAGAAUUUUGCAGCUUUAGACCACUGGGAAUAAAAAUACGUUGUUUUGCAGUGUGUUGAUGGUUUAAAUUUUUGACACCUACUGCACUGUCAGUCAGUCUGAACUCUUCUGCCAACUGACAGACACAUCAUUCUAGAGAUGAAGCAAUGGAUUCAAAUAGUUUUUUUUUUUUUUUAACUUUUUUAGAUUAUCUUUCUUCUUUCCUCAAAUACAGAUCAAAACCUAGGGAGGUGACUUUUGUCUUCUUUACUUCGUUAACCUAAAACUGAGGAGAAUUUUAAGUUUGUAAAUUCUGAAUGUGAACAUUUCAGAGGCUGAAUUUCUAUAACUCACAAUCAUGCCGCAGGACAAUAACACAUAGCCAAUAACUUAGAUCUGUGUUCCUUUACUUAGAUUUGUUUGCUAAGGAAAACUAUGGAAACCAUUGUUUCUUCUGAAAGCCAAACUCAGCAUUUGAGAGCAUUUAGUAUUUAGCCGAGUGGUAGAGCAGCAAACUCAUUUUGAGUAAGAUAUUUAAAGAAGGAGCACCAUAUGUCAUCAGCUGGCAUAAUUUAACUUGCAAAUCACAUGUUGGCAAGGGCUAGUUGGCAGCAGAUGGCUGAACUCUUGUGUUUCAGACCCCAAACCUAUCCUUUCCCAUUUUGUGUUAGAAAUCUAAUUAAAAGCCUUUUUAGCACCAUCAGAUUAAUUAUAAACAAGCCUCUUUAUCUGGUAGAAAACUGACCUAUGUUUAUCAACCUUCCCCCCAAGUCGUCUAUUUUCCAAGAUAUUCUUCAAGAAGUACUUUUCUCCAAGCUCAUUUGUUCAAAUGAAACACACUUAAUCUUUGUAUCUUAAAUCCCAUGAGCUACUUCUUAGGCCAAAUAUGAGUCACUUAUUUACUAUUUAGGACAUAAACUGCUAUUAACUUAAAACUACUUGCUAAUUGAAUUAGUACCUUUAGUCAAUUUGGUGAAAUUUGUUGAUAGACAAUCUUCUUUCAGUUAUAUAUUUGCCAUUGAAAACAAGAUUUUAUAAAGCGUAAAGUCUUUUAUCAUAUGUUGGUACAUUAAAUAUCAGAAAAAAGGACAUGUGUUUCAUUAAUUUGCCUGUCACUCUACUAGUUUAUGAUAAGAGGACUGACAUUUCUGUACCAUCUGUUUGUAUAUGACAUAAAAAAGCUAUAUGUGCUUAGUUAUGGACCGAAGUAUUUAGACAGAGUAAAUCCACAAGCAUUUGCUCAACAUUUUGAUAAGUAUUAGGUUAUUUCUCACAAAGAAUUUUGUUAUUAUUAGAUAUUUUUUAUUUUAAAAUUUUGUUGUAAAUUGAAAAAUUAUAAUUAUACAUAUUUUAGUGGUAAACAGUGAUGUUAUGAUAUAUGUAUGCAACAUGAAAUGAUUAACUCAUUAAUCAUAGAUAAUUAGCAUAUCUAUCACUUCACAUACUUGUCUUUUUUUGGUGAAAACAUUUAAAUAUGUAAAAUUCAAGAAAAGCAUAAGCUUUUAUAAAAGGUGUGGGAAUAAGUGACUAUUUCUUUCCCAACAUACGGAUGAAUUGUACUAGUGGUUAAAAAAAGGAGAGUUAUCUUCUGGCUUUUGCUUAGGAUGUAAAAGGCUGGUCAGGGCAUCCUUUGUACCCUUAUAAUAUAGAAAAUAGAUCAUCUGUAAAUUCAUAGUUGUUCUUGGAUUCAUCAGAGAGCUGAGGUUUUGGGGCAGCCAACUAACCCAAAAUCUAAAGGAAGAUAUUCACCUGAAAGGAGACACAGACUAUGAGCAUUUGCUUUUUUGCAGCAGAUGCUGGACCCCAUAAAAUGUGUUCAGAAGAAUGCAACUACAAUUUUUGACAAAUUGCUAAAAACUGACUUUGUUUUAGCAUGAGUGCAUAGAAUCCCUGGGAGCUGCAGUCAGAAGGGGAAAUUGCAGGUAUGUGCAUGAUCACCACAGAGCUCACCAGGUACUUACAAGAGAGAUUAAGAGCAUGGUGGGAGUCCUGAGAAAGCCUUCAUCUUGAUGCAGGCACAGGAGUGGGGAACAAAAGAUGUUGUGGAAGAGGAAAAGGAAAAGGCAGAAAGCCUUACCAAGAACCUUCUCCCCUACUUCUCUACAGAGUAAAAGACAAGCUUCUGUGGAAAGGGCAACAAACACUAUCACCCUCAGACCAGAGGUGAACAUCCUUUGCAGCAAGGUGAAAGAGAUACAAAACACCCUCUGCCCUUGAAGGAGAGACAGGAGACGCCUCUGUUGGCUUCUCUGCUGCUUAACAGAAGUCAUGAGAUGCCUGGGUAACUGACAAAGAACAAAGGACAGUAAUAGCAGUAGCCAGAGUAUCAGCAUAAUUUCCUCAUGCCUGUUCCCCAGACCCUGACAUUCAGAGGACCAGGUGACUCCUAUAGACACGUAAGGGUAUGGAAACUCCCUGACUUAGUUUUCAGCAUUCCAAGAAUUGCCCCGCAAGAAAAAAUGGCCAACACGAUAUCUGCCCACCUCUCGGUGGUUUCAGAGUCUCUGUGAUCUUGGCACCUUAAGUUCUAGCAGCUUCAGCCAGUCUCUAAUGCCUCAAAUCUAAACUUUUUCUAUUUUCCCUGUAUUUCACGUGGGUUUUCUUUUCCUUGAGUUGCUUGCAAGAUGCUUCAACUUAGCCACACCUGGAAUAUAUUACAUAUUUGUUUCUUGUUUAUUUUCCAUCUUCUUCUUUAGGAACGUAAGCUCUGUGAAGUUCGGUUACUUUGGCUUCUUCUCUAAUAAAUCCCCAGUGUCUUGAAAAGCACGUGGCAAUUGGUAGGCACUUAAUAAUGUUAAGUAAAUAGACAAUAGACAGCUGAGUUCACAUAGGUAAAAAAUAAUAAAACCACAAUUUAAAAAUUUUGUUUUCUAUCUUGAUGCCUACUGACAUAUAUAGUAGUUUCUACAUUUACCCGUAUCUCUGUUGGUACAUGUUUUCUUAGUAAAAAGAGUGCAUAUUUUUAGCACAUUGGUUUAUUAGUGCAUAUUUAUGUCUUUAGCUAUAAUCAAGAGGAGAUGUAUGAAUGUUCUUUGAGUUUAGAAAGAGUUACUUUAUUCUCUAGGACCCCAAAAAGGUGUAAACAAACAGAUUAUUUUAUGCACACAUCUGAUUCUUUCCUUUCUUGUAGAGUCCUUUCAAGUCUCUGCAGCUUCAAGCUUGCUGACUUCUUUGAUCAAAAACUGCACUCAUUUUGGAACCAGUUAAAAGGUUGUGUUUUAUAGGAAGUCUUUUAAGAGUUUUUUUCCAGGUGACUCAGUUACUCUCAUCUCUGUGUCGGUUCUUCUGUUAUAGAACUUAUUAUAUUGCCUUUUAGUUAUUUGUUUACAUGUCUGGGUUUCCACCUAAUUACUGAGCUCGUUACAUAAAUAUCUUUGUAUCCUUAGUACCUAGCACACAGCCAGGCGCAUAGAAGUAUCUUAGAAAAUAUUGGCUGGAUGCAUUAUUAAGCUAAGAAUGUUGUCUAGCUUGGGAGUAUGUACAUUUUCAAAAGAUGACAACGAAAUGACACUUUCUAAUUUUGGGAUUUUAGUUAGCAAUUCUCUGUGUAUAAGAGCUAUUGGGAUAGCAGAGAGGCCUUCUCAGAACCACUGGACUCUAUUAUUCUGUUUAUUCCUGAACUUACAAACUUUAAAUAUCUUUUUAUAGCUGAUAAUUCUAUGAAUCAGCCUUAACAUUCAGAGGUGGGGCAAAUGGUGUCAUGUAGGUGGUGUAAUUUAAAGGAAACCAGUAAGAUUUUCCUUCCUCUAAAUUUCCUUUAUUUGUGUUUGAGAUUCCAUAUAUCUAUUGCCUUGUUUUAGCUCUGCAGUCAUGCUGUAGACUAAUCUUAAAACAGAAAUCUGUAGAGACAUGCAUUAAUUUAUUAACCAGAUCAUUUAUCUUCAUGGUAGGAGAAAUCUGGAGAGGCAGGAGCUCUGUAUACCUGGAGAAAGGUAGGAACGACAGGAAGGGAAGAGCAGAGAAAGCAAGGAUGAUAAUUAGGGACGCCAAAGACCAAAUGUGAGUUAUUGACACCUCUGUCAAAAUUUAAUCUUCCCUUGAGGUGGUAUUUUUAUAUAAUAUUGUCCUAACCUGCCAAAAGAGGUGAUGCAAAUAGUACUAUAAACAUCUUUGUGUUUAUUUAGUGGAAUAUUAUAUGUAUUAUAUUAUGAUCCAGAUGGGGAAAAGAUUAGGGUUUCAAAAAGCAUAUAAAGGCCACUUAGUAACAAAUUUACAGAGAUGAAAAUAUCCCAGUGUUUUCUGUUUCUCAUUUAACUAUUCAAAUCACAUAUGAAGAUAGCUGUUUUAUCCUAUUUUUGCUCUUUUUACCACCACAUGGUAAUAAUUAAAAGACCUUUACUAUAAAUCACCCAGUUGUCUAUAGAUUUUGGGUUGCUUUUCAUAGGUUGAUGACAAUGUAAGUGCCUUGGACUGUAAGUACUACCAUUUGGCAUAAUCUUGCUCUAUACUUGCAAAAUAAUAUUCUUUUAUUAUAGAAAUGGACUACUGUCUCUCACCAGCAAUCUUUAAAGGAUACAGAUACAGGUAAAAAGAUGGUGACUCAAGGCUUAGAUAAGUUGGCCACCACCCACAUUCAUAUCUAUAAGCCUUUUCUCUGUAUACGCUUAGAAUAUGGAGCUAUGUUUUCUAUGUAUGUGAUAUAAUUAAGUAACCCUAAGCUUCUAUGAAAAAAAUACAUUUUUGCUUUGAAGAAUUUAUCUAACAGGGGACUCAGCAUCUGGAGGGAGUAAGUUAUAACCAACCCAAGAAUUUUUUUGUCAGUUCUUCUGCCCUCAUCUCCCCCAAUAAUAUAUAGAACUUGAACCCAUUUCUAUCCUUACCCAGUCUCUUUGUCUUCCUGGUGGAACACUAAGGAGCUCACAGUUCUCACUUCUAGGAGACAAAAGUAUCCAGGGAUUUGAAGCACAGAAUCCAGACUUUGUCUCUUAAUAACUGUAAUCUUGGUCAAGAUAUCUAAUCCCCAGAUUCCAUCUGCUCAUCUGUUAAAGUGAGGUUUAAAAACAGUACCUACCUAUAGGGUUGUAGUGAGGGUUAAAUAAGAUAAGGCACACAAAGCACAAUGCUGGAAAACAACAAACAUUUCAUAAAUAAUAGUUGCUAUUAUUCUUAUAGUUAGUGUAAUAGUAUUCCCCCUUCAUGCCCCUCAUGUUUCCAUGAAGGGGAGAGAAUUACUACUUCACUCUCUAGAAAAAAUUACAGUGGGUUGGGGAGAGAACCUCUAUCCUUUCUCUUUUUAUUCCUACCCAUGGGUGGGAGAGUGAAUAAUUUUAUUUGGAACAUGGAAGUCCUAAUGUGUCAAUUUCAGCUCCUUAUCACUUCCCAGAUAUAAUUUGUCCACAGCACAUACAAUUCAGGUGUUCCUUUCACCAAGCCUGCCUCAAUAGACAAGGCUUGUGGUUAUCCAGAUAUGCCAAUGUCUGGUUUAGGAUAAAGCCUAAACAAGCCACUUUAACUACAGAUCUUGAGCUAUAUUCUGCAAUAAGCUUUAUCAGUAGUGUGAUCAUUUUAUAUCCAUGUGUCCAACUUUCCUUUCUUCCUAUUUGUUUUACAGUUGAAUGAGGAAGGUAAAAAGGGCUGUUUAUUUGCUUUCCUGUCCCCCCAAGUUUUUGUUCUCUAAAUCAUUGCUGUGUCCUUGGGUGCUCUUAACUGCAAUUAUCACCAUGGAAUUCCUUUAUAUUUUGAGCCUUAGGCAGUUUUCUCCAUCUGCUGGCUGUGCACUUGCCAGGCAGUGGCCAUUGCCCUUAUUGAACUGGUUCCACAAAUGCCUUUGGCCUGCUCCCAUCACAGCUGCUGAGCUGAUGUGAGAGAUGGUGCUGCCUUAGACACUUUCUCAGUGUUUGUUCCUGCCACUUCCACUGUUGCCAUGGCAGACAUAGGUGCCUUCUCCAGAAGCAGUUAGUAUCUUCUAGUCCUGUGCACCCUGUCUGGGCCUCUGGCGCUCUCCUCUGCAACAGAAGUACAAACUGUUGCCUAAGGAUACAGGGUGUGUGGCUGGUGGCCUCAACAGGCCCCACGGCUCAGGCACUCAGACCCAAGCUGGUCCCUCAGCCCAUAUUACUAAAUGCCUGACUUCAGAAAAAAAACGUAAACAAAAGACAGAGAUUGGAAGCAUCAGAAUUUUAUUCCAGUGACUCAAUCCCCAUUGUGUGAAGUAGACCAGAAUGAAUAAAUUGAACUUACUCAGCACCUCAAUUAUUAAAUGUAUCCACAGAAAUUCAUUCUGUCAAGUUAACUGUGGAGGUUGUUGUUGCUAUUGCAGACUAAAUGGUUUUCCUGGGAACUCUGACUCUGGCCACAAGAUCAAGACUGACAAAUUUCCUUUCUCUGUUUAUGGAGGGAGACUUCACAACAUUCACUGAAAGAGGAGCAAAGGACCUGGUUUUUGCCAUGACUGGCUUUGGCCCCGUGAAUGAAUGUUUUUCUGGCAUUGGAAAGCGGAUAGCAAAGAGAGCAGAACCACAAAUGGGCUAUGAGGAAAUGUGUUCAAUGAAGAAAACAAAAUCUCUGACAAGAUCCAACAUAGGACAACAUCUCAGCAUCUUCUGUGAUUUGUGAACCCAAGUAAAGCACUUCUUAGAGUUAUCUGGCACAUUCGCAACUAAUAGCUUUCUGUGAAUAAAUACUGUGGCAACC